CCCUUAGAUGUCCUGGGCCGCACGCGCGCUACACUGAGUGUCUGAGAUACGAGUCUGCCUGGUCCGGCAAGGUCUAGGUAAUCGCUAAAAGACACAUCAUGCUUGGGAUAGAUUAUUGCAAAUAUUAAUCUUGAACGAGGAAUUCCUAGUAAGCGCAAGUCAACAGCUUGCGUUGAUUACGUCCCUGCCCUUUGUACACACCGCCCGUCGCUCCUACCGAUUGAAUGAUCCGAUGAAUACCAUGGAUUGAGAGUUCGAACAGGUUCGCCUGUUUCAGCUUCUCGAGAAGUGGAGUAAAUCUUAUCAUUUAGAGGAAGGAGAAGUCGUAACA
rnacentral:rRNA from 1 species